rnacentral:rRNA from 1 species
UACGGGGGGGGCAAGCGUUGUCCGGAAUUAUUGGGCGUAAAGAGCUCGUCGGCGGUGUGUCGCGUCGGCCGUGAAAACCUGCAGCUUAACUGUGGGCGUGCGGUCGAUACGGGCAUCACUGGAGUUCGGCAGGGGAGACUGGAAUUCCUGGUGUAGCGGUGAAAUGCGCAGAUAUCAGGAGGAACACCGGUGGCGAAGGCGGGUCUCUGGGCCGAUACUGACGCUGAGGAGCGAAAGCGUGGGGAGCGAACAGG